CCUACGGGCGGCAGCAGUGGGGAAUAUUGGGCAAUGGGCGCAAGCCUGACCCAGCAACGCCGCGUGAAGGAAGAAGGCUUUCGGGUUGUAAACUUCUGUUGUCAGGGAAGAGUAGAGGACGGUACCUGACGAAUAAGCCACGGCUAACUACGUGCCAGCAGCCGCGGUAAUACGUAGGUGGCAAGCGUUGUCCGGAUUUACUGGGUGUAAAGGGCGGGUAGCCGGGUUGACAAGUCAGAUGUGAAAUCCUGCGGCUUAACCGCAGAACUGCAUUUGAAACUGUUGAUCUUGAGUACUGGAGGGGCAGACGGAAUUCCUGGUGUAGCGGUGAAAUGCGUAGAUAUUAGGAGGAACACCAGUGGCGAAGGCGGUCUGCUGGACAGCAACUGACGGUGAGGCGCGAAAGCGUGGGGAGCAAACAGGAUUAGAUACCCGAGUAGUC
rnacentral:rRNA from 1 species